AGUGAACGCUGGCGGCAGGCCUAACACAUGCAAGUCGAGCGGCAGCGCGUCCGACCACCCUCGGGUGGUCGGAUGGCGGCGAGCGGCGGACGGGUGAGGAAUGCAUCGGAAUCUGCCUCGUUGUGGGGGAUAACGUAGGGAAACUUACGCUAAUACCGCAUACGACCUACGGGUGAAAGUGGGGGACCUUCGGGCCUCACGCGAUGAGAUGAGCCGAUGCCGGAUUAGCUAGUUGGCGGGGUAAAGGCCCACCAAGGCGACGAUCCGUAGCUGGUCUGAGAGGAUGAUCAGCCACACUGGGACUGAGACACGGCCCAGACUCCUACGGGAGGCAGCAGUGGGGAAUUUUGGACAAUGGGCGCAAGCCUGAUCCAGCCAUGCCGCGUGAGUGAAGAAGGCC
rnacentral:rRNA from 1 species